CUAUGCUUAAUUUUUCUCUUUUCCUUUUUGGACAGGCUUGCUCUGCUUCAGAAUGUUCAUGGCAUAAAAAAGACUGCUCUAGCCCUGGCUCUGUGUGACUUCUCAGCUCUAGAGCCCCAUACCAGGUGCAAAAACAAACUGCAACCACAAGAGCUAAACCUCUCUCUCUCUCUCCCCUAUUGUCCUCUUUGGCAAAGCUCUGUGGAAAGCUGAAUAAAUGAACAGGGCCAUUCGGCAGAGUGUAACCCAUACCAGCCCUAUUGUGCAAUGCCUUGAACAUUCACAGGGAGAUCAAGUGUCUUGCCCAAGAGCACACGGCUAGAGAGUGAAGUCAGGAUUUGACUCAGAGAGCUUGCCUCUGGAGCCUGGGUUGCUCUGAUGGUCCAGGUUUACCUUGCCAAUUGACAAAGGGAAUCCAGACCGGGAACUGCUUCUUUGCCCAGCCACCUGUAAAUAGACUUGAGAACAAUGUAAACCACCCUCUGCAGGAUAUUGAUUCUGAUGCAGCAAGUGUCGAUUAAGCAGAAUGGUGGCUUUUUUUAACUGGAGGAAUUCCAGAUCUUUCCUCAGGCCUGCCUCUCCGGGGAAAUGAGCUCUAUCCUCAAAAAUCUACAGAAAACCUGAAUUCCCGUUGCUUCAUGUUUAAUCUUCUGAGACCACUCAUUAGACCACACAAAUUGCAACAAUUGUCUCCAGCACACAGACACUGUUCCAGACCCCUGAUGUGCCCAGGAGAAAGACUGUAUCUCUCUGAAACGCUCUGGUGCGGGCUCUGAUGUGGAAUCCCCUGGAAUCCUCCUACCAGAGGCAUAGAGACCAAUUGGAAAAAGACUCAGCUGUCUGACAGCAGCAUGGCCCAGCAAAGGCACGCCUUGGAGAAGAAAAGAGGGGUACAGCAACACCUGAGUUUAAUCAUGUGGCUUUGGAGAAACCCCAAAGAGGUUAUACAGUUAUACAGUCAUACAGUUAUUGGGCUGAUUUUUACUUUCAGUCUGUUCUAAUUAUCUUUA